GGCGCGCUGGAGGAGGGCGAGUACGGCGCUGGCUGGGUCGAAGGCGGAGGCAUCUACAAGGGCUCCUUCCGCCCUCGCGAUCCCAAAGGGGACCGCAUCACCGUCUCCGUGAAGCGCCUCAACCAGCAGGGUCUCCAGGAAGUAAAGAAAAAAUCACCUCCUCCUCUCAAGCUGCUCAGGGGACCAUCAUUUUUGUCAAAGCAUUGCCAACUUCAGUUUAGCUGCAAGUGAUAUGGAUUUCAAGCUCGGCAAACCGCAGAGUACAACAGAAAGAAGGUUGUGCAAGCGAUUUUCUCUAUGUUCUCUAGUUCCUAUUUAGUCGUGGAAAGAGUGCAAGUAUUGAAGGUCGUGCAAGCUCCAGGUUUGUCAGAUUAUAGGGGAGAAGAUGGCUUCCAGGUGGCUAGGUGAAGUUUUGACACGGUGGUAGAUAGUUUGUUCGCUCAGGCUGGCACUCUCGUGCCUGGUGGAAUCUGUGGGAUCUCCGGAGCUAUUUCCAGCGCGCCCUCCUCUUAUGCAAGGCGCCAAGUCAGUCUCCGCCUCAAUGUGCUUCUCAGAGAGCCUACAAUGGCUUCAUAAAAACAAUCCCGGCAUUUCUUUAGCUAAUGGUUUCGAUCGGUGCAUGACAAAGGUUGGAAAAUUCUGCUUCAAGCCUUGCAGUAACCAUUCAGCAAGGAGAAAUACUACCUGGCAAGGCAUCUGUAAUAGCACCAACCAUUUUAGAGAGAGGGGAGACAUCUACAGCUGAAGGAAUGGAAAUGAUAGAGCGUGUUGGAAAGGAGACAAUGGAACUGAUCAUUGAAGAGACUGGUAUGGAAAUUGAUAAAGGUACCGACGAAGGUGAGCAGCAGACAGAAGAGGAGCAGUUUGAAGAAGUCUUGUUUGACUGGUUAGAAAUCUUUGCCCCUUUGUAGAGGAGCUGGAAGCAUUGUCAAGCCACUAUGCAUUACUAUUUAAUAGGAAAAUGACAAAACUUGUCGCCGAGCAGAAAACAUAUUACGAUGGAAAGAUCAAAGAAAUACAACAGAUUUUUAGUCUUAUUUCCAAGACUGGGGAAAAUUGACCAGACUCUUACAAAGGAAAGAAGAUUGAAGCAGCUGAUACCGACGGGGAUGCAGAGAUGAAGAAGUUAUGUGACUCAAGUGUUAGCAAGGCUUCGAAAAUGGCUGCAGGAUAUUGUCAGAUAUUUGCUGCCUUGCAGUUUCUCAGCUUCUGACCUCUACUUGGGAAAUCAGUUAUUUAUGCUGCUAAUAAAUCAAAUAAUGAUGAAGAUGUGAAGAUUGAUUGGCCUGAAGAUCCCAUUUCAAAAGCAGAAAUCAUCAGAUAUGUAAGGCGCAGUGCAUCUCUGAGGAUGUUGAAAAGGUCUCCACUAGUUUUACAACAGGUACAUGAAAUGGCCUGAUGCUUAUUCAAAGUAGGACGCGUAAACUUAAAUGUAAAACAUACAUGUUAUUGCAUCAGUAGGAAUCUCAGAUGUUGCUGAAGCUUAUGCUGCAGCGAUCCAAAAGGCUCUUUGCACAGAAGCAUGUUGAUGUCCACAUCAUUCAGUGCAGGAAAAGCUAAAUGCAUAUCCAGCCAUCUGAAAUCCAGAUCAGUGCUGUCAGCAAGUUACAAGUGGCCCUCCAAUACUUAGCCUACGUUGUUGUUUGCAUUCGAUACCAAGUGUAUAUAAUUUUGGAGUGCCUUCAAUGUUGUUAUUGUUAAACACUACGUUGUGUACAUUUUGUGUGGCCGUACGUUCUUCAGGUUUGCCAGAAAUAGGGCCUCUAGUGACGCCAGGUCUUCUGCUUC